rnacentral:rRNA from 1 species
UACGGAGGGUGCGAGCGUUAAUCGGAAUUACUGGGCGUAAAGCGCGCGUAGGUGGUUAAGUAAGUCGGAUGUGAAAGCCCUGGGCUUAACCUAGGAACUGCAUUCGAUACUGCUUAGCUAGAGUAUGGUAGAGGAAAGUGGAAUUCCCGGUGUAGCGGUGAAAUGCGUAGAUAUCGGGAGGAACAUCAGUGGCGAAGGCGGCUUUCUGGACCAAUACUGACACUGAGGUGCGAAAGCGUGGGUAGCAAACAGG